rnacentral:rRNA from 1 species
GUAGGGGGCAAGCGUUAUCCGGAUUUACUGGGUGUAAAGGGAGCGUAGACGGCAGUGCAAGUCUGAAGUGAAAGCCCGGGGCUCAACCCCGGGACUGCUUUGGAAACUGUGCAGCUAGAGUGUCGGAGAGGCAAGCGGAAUUCCUAGUGUAGCGGUGAAAUGCGUAGAUAUUAGGAGGAACACCAGUGGCGAAGGCGGCUUGCUGGACGAUGACUGACGUUGAGGCUCGAAAGCGUGGGGAGCAAACAGGAUUAGAUACCCUGGUAGUCCGCACGGUAAACGAUGGAUGCCCGCUGUUGGUCUGAAUAGGUCAGCGGCCAAGCGAAAGCAUUAAGCAUCCCACUUGGGGAGU